AGGGCCCUUCGGGAGGGCCCCCCCUCAAUCCUGUCGUGCUUACGUCAGAGGGUUGGGUGGAGGCUCUCCUGAAGGCCUC
rnacentral:pre_miRNA from 1 species